CCCUACGGGAGGCAGCAGUAAGGAAUAUUGGUCAAUGGGCGCAAGCCUGAACCAGCCACGCCGCGUGAAGGAUGAAGGCCCUAUGGGUUGUAAACUUCUUUUCUACGGGAAUAAAUCUCAUUACGUGUACUGAGUUGAAGGUACCGUAGGAAUAAGCAUCGGCUAACUCCGUGC
rnacentral:rRNA from 1 species